UAGAGUUUGAUCCUGGCUCAGAACGAACGCUGGCGGCAUGCCUAACACAUGCAGGUCGAACGAACCCUUCGGGGUUAGUGGCGCACGGGUGCGUAACGCGUGGGAAUCUGCCCUUUGCUUCGGAAUAACAGUUAGAAAUGACUGCUAAUACCGGAUGAUGUCUUCGGACCAAAGAUUUAUCGGCAAAGGAUGAGCCCGCGUAGGAUUAGGUAGUUGGUGGGGUAAAGGCCUACCAAGCCGACGAUCCUUAGCUGGUCUGAGAGGAUGAUCAGCCACACUGGGACUGAGACACGGCCCAGACUCCUACGGGAGGCAGCAGUGGGGAAUAUUGGACAAUGGACGCAAGUCUGAUCCAGCAAUGCCGCAUGAGUGAUGAAGGCCUUAGGGUUGUAAAGCUCUUUUACCAGGGAUGAUAAUGACAGUACCUGGAGAAUAAGCUCCGGCUAACUCCGUGCCAGCAGCCGCGGUAAUACAGAGGGAGCUAGCGUUGUUCGGAAUUACUGGGCGUAAAGCGCACGUAGGCGGUUACUCAAGUCAGAGGUGAAAGCCCGGGGCUCAACCCCAGGACUGCCUUUGAAACUAGGUAACUA
rnacentral:rRNA from 1 species